GCGGGCGGCUGGUCGGCGCGUGCAGCCCGGGACAGGGAGAAGCUGGUCUGGGGACGUGUCCUCGUGGGGAGCUCCUCCCCGCGAGUCUCCGAGGUUAAGGAGUUCGCGCACCCUGGAAGCCCCAGCCUAAAACGACCUGUUGCUUUAAGCGGCGCGGUGGGGAGCCGCGGGACACUCCUGGUUCUGGUUUUGCAUUAGAAAGAGGGCGGCCGACCAGAUGUUGUGGCUUUUUUCACGAGCUCCGCCGAUUGCCACCCCGCCGCGAAGCGUGUUAAUUUCUGACGUGGGCGACACCACGCACUGAACCUGAAGUCCGUGGGGAAUACAGAGUUUAUAAAAUGACUUUAAAAGCGUCAGCUUCUGGAAAUGCAGAUAAUCGUCCACAGCAUGUUUCCUGUAGCGUGAUGAGUCUUUUUCCAUAAAAGAAACAGAUUUUUUUUUUUUUUUUACCCUUGCAAACUCCUGAUUGGGCCGCCCACGGACGCAGGUGAUCUUGCAGCGACUCAGAUUGUCGCAGUGGGAUUGAGCCAGCGCUCAGGACUGGAGGCAUCUCCUUUAAGUGUUAACUGAGGCCCAAGGGGGUCUUCCUGCCCUAAUGGACUUCUUAAAGGGACCCUGGGUGGAGCUUUAGUUGUUCCAAGUUAAAAAUUCAACCCCUAGGAAAGGGUUCCCUCGACCAAUGACAAGACAUCAGUUCAAAUAAAUGGACAUGGAAUUUUUCAACCAAAUGACUCAUUUUUUUAAUUAGGCUAAAGGUCAAUGACUCUUGGGUACUGUCCCAAGGCAUUUGAGGAUGUGGUGUCAUUCCUGGGGCUUAUCGAAGUGAUAGAGAGAUACCAGCUUCGAGGUCCUUAUUUUUGUAAGGCCUUUACUGAUUUGAACUACAAUCAAGCAACUUUUUUUUUUCUUCUU